CAGAAACUUCCUGACCUCUUCCAGGAAGGCUUCCCAGAUCUGCUGCGAAGAUAGUAGGGUGGAAGAUGCAGGGAAAGGCUAUGGGUCUCUGUUCCACUCCCCUGCUGAUCUGUGACACAGGAUGAUGCCACAGCUCUGGCCUCUUCCCAUUCCCUUGCCCACCUCUCAUUCCUAACCUAUCCCUAACAAAACUUUUGAGCUCUCCUCAAGAAAAGAUCUACAGGAAAAAGGACACUGGGAAGAUCUGCUACCAGAUUCCUGGAAAACACUGCUGGAAUUGCUGGGAUAAAUCUCUCACUGCAGAAAUGCUGUGGCAGACCUCUGAACCUGCCUGAAAAGCUUUGUACAGAACCCAGAUCCCUGCUGUGAAAAGAUUCAGUUUUUAAGAGACAGGAUUUCUCAUUUGAUCAAAGGUCUUCAUAGAAAACCUCUGAUCAGUUGUGGAAAAGAAAAUACUCAUUAAGAGAAAUUAUAAGUUAGUCAACACCUAACAAAGAUACGUGGAAAUGAAAUGCAAGUUCAAGGUCUCACCAACCUAGAAGGGGUCUGGCAGUACCUGAGAGAUUAUUGCAGACAAUGAGUCAGCAUGCCUGUGCUCAUUUCCCAAGAUCCCAGGUCACCUAAUUUCAGAGAUCCCACUGUGAGCUUUCUGUGUUACAGUCUUUCUACAACUGGGCUUGUUGUCAAGCUGCUUCAAUUCAGUGAAUCUGAUCUUCUGGUGCAGAUGUUCUUCAUCAUCAAGGGCUUUCCUCUCAGAUGAGAUUGGUCCUGGUGACAGGGUGGAGUGGAAGAGGAGAUGACUUUGUGUAACCAAUGCAGGACUUCUCUGCUAAACCUGCUCAGAAUGUGCACUCUCCAGCUGUGCAUGUCCUCUGCUAACAACUAAACCAAUGAACCCAUUUGCCACAGACCAAGUAAUCCCUCUCAUGAAACAAUGAUUUCAGCCUGUAUCAAAAUAAUGCAGUUCAGAAACUUGGUAGGAAAUGUUCAACUCUAAACUGUUCUUUAAUCAGGCGGAUCAUCGUUGAAGUCAUAGAUGGUAUUUUGUAUGUGUCAAAUACAUGAAAACAUCUACUAUAAACUUUAGGCUCCCUGAACUGCAUCUUCACCAUUGAAAUGAGAAUGUGACCACAGAUUUAUCUAACAGUGCUGGAUUGUCACUUGGAAAUAAAACCGUAAAGGAUUGAUUUGCCUGAACA
rnacentral:lncRNA from 1 species